UGAGGAAUAUUGGUCAAUGGUCGGGAGACUGAACCAGCCAAGCCGCGUGAGGGAUGAAGGUGCUAAGCAUUGUAAACCUCUUUUGUCAGGGAACAAAGGCAUCCACGAGUGGAUGUGUGAGUGUACCUGAAGAAAAAGCAUCGGCUAACUCCGUGCCAGCAGCCGCGGUAAUACGGAGGAUGCGAGCGUUAUCCGGAUUUAUUGGGUUUAAAGGGUGCGUAGGCGGCCUGUUAAGUCAGCGGUAAAAGCCCGGGGCUCAACCCCGGCGAGCGUUGAAACUGGCUGGCUGGAGUUGGCGAGAGGUAUGCGGAAUGCGCGGUGUAGCGGUGAAAAUGCUUAGAUAUCGCGCAGAACUCCGAUUGCGAAGGCAGCAUGCCGGCGCCACACUGACGCUGAGGCACGAAAGGCGUGGGGAAUGCAAAGCAAGGCAUUGAGAUACC
rnacentral:rRNA from 1 species